GGGCCUUGCGCUAUCAGAUGAGCCUAGGUCGGAUUAGCUAGUUGGUGGGGUAAUGGCUCACCCAGGCGACGAUCCGUUACUGGUCUGAGAGGAUGAUCAGUCACACUGGAACUGAGACACGGUCCAGACUCCUACGGGAGGCAGCAGUGGGGAAUAUUGGACAAUGGGCGAAAGCCUGAUCCAGCCAUGCCGCGUGUGUGAAGAAGGUCUUCGGAUUGUAAAGCACUUUAAGUUGGGAGGAAGGGCAGUAAGCUAAUACCUUGCUGUUUUGACGUUACCGACAGAAUAAGCACCGGCUAACUCUGUGCCAGCAGCCGCGGUAAUACAGAGGGUGCAAGCGUUAAUCGGAAUUACUGGGCGUAAAGCGCGCGUAGGUGGUUUGUUAAGUUGGAUGUGAAAGCCCCGGGCUCAACCUGGGAACUGCAUCCAAAACUGGCAAGCUAGAGUACGGUAGAGGGUGGUGGAAUUUCCUGUGUAGCGGUGAAAUGCGUAGAUAUAGGAAGGAACACCAGUGGCGAAGGCGACCACCUGGACUGAUACUGACACUGAGGUGCGAAAGCGUGGGGAGCAAACAGGAUUAGAUAC
rnacentral:rRNA from 1 species